CCUAACAAUUCUUCUGUGUAGCUCUUAAUGUUCUUCCACUCCACACUCCACUGUGGGGUGGCUCCUGAUAUUCUUCCACCCUGAUCUCCCCUCUAUAAGAACCUCCUUUGUAUGAUCUUUCCUUCUGAUCUCUUUUCUCUUUCUUUCUUUAAUCAAUUUGUAAUCUGUAUUUAGAAUGGUGCUAGAUUGUUAAUUGAAGUACAGGUACAUCUGUUACAUUACAAAUUGAUUCUUCUGUGUUUUAAGACCUGAGUGUCUUGUUAUUAGUUCUUACACCCAAGUGCAUCAUUUACAGGCCUGAAUGUCUAGUCAUUAUAAGAGACAAGCCGCAAUCGCUCGCUUGCGCUCGCUUAUCCAGCUUGAAAACACACCGUUUAAUCCCUCGGGC
rnacentral:sRNA from 1 species